GGAGAGAUGGCUCAGCAGUUAGGAGCACUGGCUGAUGAUCCAGAGGACCUGGGUUCAAUUCCCAGCACCC
rfam:Neotoma lepida isolate 417 scaffold_1, whole genome shotgun sequence.